rnacentral:lncRNA from 1 species
UGCCUUUUCCUUUAUUAGGUUUCUUUUUUUUUCGGAUUAGCCAAUCAAAUCAAGCUAUAGAACUUCCUGAACCAGAUAGUGUGACGGCGUAACUUCUUGCUAUCCAUCAAUUCCCAGAGUUUAGUUCAAAAGGGUGAUCUAGGAUUUGCUAUUUCCUCUAAAGGUCGAACAGCGGAGAACUAUUCCAACUACCCUGCUGCUAAAAUUCUUCUUUCCUCGAUUCCUAUGAGGGCCAAAUAGACUUUUAUUUGUAUUUUUAUCGAGGUGAGGGAUAGCUCGACAACAGCCCAAGUUUAGGUAUCCCGAAUUUUAGGAACGAAGUAACUCGCCUAAAAGGAGAGGAACGAGGGUACGAAACCAAAGGAAGGGGAGUUUUUCCAAUCCUAUAAAUCUGGUUAAGCGUAGGAACUCCGUGGUCAGCACUUUAUCCGGAUAGCUUCCACUCUGGACUAGCCUCGUCGAGGCGAAAGGUUGUGCUCUUAUCGGGAGCCCCCCGGUCACCCAAGGAAUUGUCUAUCCUUUCUUAGCCUUCUGGCGAUGUGAAUUCAGUUUGAUCCUUACGCCCUUCUUGGCGUCUCCAGACUCUCUGCACACCAUCUCCGAC